CAGCCGCGGUAAUUCCAGCUCCAAUAGCGUAUNUUAAAGUUGCUGCAGUUAAAAAGCUCGUAGUUGAAUUUCGGGACCAUCAUGUCGGUCGUGCCUAGGUACGUACUGGUAUUGUUGGUUUCUCCCUCCUGACGAACCCAUGAUGUCAUUUAUUUGGUGUUGUGGGGAAUCAGGACUGUUACUUUGAAAAAAUUAGAGUGUUUAAAGCAGGCUCACGCUUGAAUACAUUAGCAUGGAAUAAUGAAAUAGGACGUUCGAUCCCUAUUUUGUUGGUUUCUAAGAUUGACGUAAUGAUUAAUAGGGAUAGUUGGGGGCAUUAGUAUUCAAUUGUCAGAGGUGAAAUUCUUGGAUUUAUUGAAGACUAACUACUGCGAAAGCAUUUGCCAAGGAUGUUUUCAUUAAUCAAGAACGAAGGUUAGGGGGAUCGAAGACGAUCAGAUACCGUCGUAGUCUUAACCAUAAACUAUGCCGACUAGGGAUCGGAUGAUGUUAAUUUUUAAUGACUCAUUCGGCGCCUUACG
rnacentral:rRNA from 1 species